UACAGGGGGUGCAAACGUUGCUCGGAAUCAUUGGGCGUAAAGCGCGCGUAGGCGGCCCUGUAAGUCCGUUGUGAAAGUCAAAGGCUCAACCUUUGAAAGCCGAUGGAUACUGCAGGGCUAGAGUCCGGAAGAGGCGAGUGGAAUUCCUGGUGUAGCGGUGGAAUGCGCAGAUAUCAGGAGGAACACCAAUAGCGAAGGCAGCUCGCUGGGACGGUACUGACGCUAAGGCGCGAAAGCGUGGGGAGCGAACAGG
rnacentral:rRNA from 1 species